rnacentral:rRNA from 1 species
CUUGUUGGUGGGGUGAUGGCCUACCAAGGCUUUGACGGGUAGCCGGCCUGAGAGGGCGACCGGCCACACUGGGACUGAGACACGGCCCAGACUCCUACGGGAGGCAGCAGUGGGGAAUAUUGCACAAUGGGCGGAAGCCUGAUGCAGCGACGCCGCGUGAGGGAUGACGGCCUUCGGGUUGUAAACCUCUUUCAGCAGGGACGAAGCGAGAGUGACGGUACCUGCAGAAGAAGCGCCGGCCAACUACGUGCCAGCAGCCGCGGUAAGACGUAGGGCGCGAGCGUUGUCCGGAUUUAUUGGGCGUAAAGAGCUCGUAGGCGGCUCGUUGCGUCCAUCGUGAAAACUCAGGGCUUAACUCUGAGCUUGCGGUGGAUACGGGCGGGCUAGAGUUCGGUAGGGGAGACUGGAAUUCCUGGUGUAGCGGUGAAAUGCGCAGAUAUCAGGAGGAACACCGGUGGCGAAGGCGGGUCUCUGGGCCGAUACUGACGCUGAGGAGCGAAAGCGUGGGGAGCGAACAGGAUUAGAUACCCUGGUAGUCCACGCUGUAAACGUUGGGCGCUAGGUGUGGGGGGCCUCUCCGGUUCCCUGUGCCGCAGCUAACGCAUUAAGCGCCCCGCCUGGGGAGUACGGCCGCAAGGCUAAAACUCAAAGGAAUUGACG